rnacentral:rRNA from 1 species
GACGAACGCUGGCGGCGUGCUUAACACAUGCAAGUCGAACGGAAAGGCGCUGCUUUUGUGCGGUGCUCGUGUGGCGAGCGGGUGAGUAACACGUGUGUAUCCUGCCCUUGACUUUGUGAUAACUUCUGGAAACUGGGGCGCAUACCGGAGAGGAGCUCCUGCUGCAUGGUGGUGGUUGGUAAGUUUCGGCGUUUGUGGCUGGUCUCGCUGGUUAUCAGCUUGUUGGUGGGGUAGUUGCUUACCAAGGCUUUGACGGGUAGCCGGCCUUGGAGGGUGGCCGGGCACCAUGGUACUGCGAGAGGGCGCAGACGGGUACGGGAGGCAGCAGGGGAGAAUAUGGCAGAAUGGGGGGAAGCCUGAUGCAGCAACGCCGCGUGCGGGAUGACGGGCUUCGGGUUGUAAACCGAUUUCGACUGAGACGAAGCGGGAGUGACGGUAAUGGGUAAAGAAGCACCGGCUAACUACGUG